rnacentral:rRNA from 1 species
UACAGAGGGUGCGAGCGUUGUCCGGAUUUAUUGGGCGUAAAGAGCUCGUAGGCGGCUUUGUCAGUCGGGUGUGAAACCUCCAGGCUCAACCUGGAGCCGCCACCCGAUACUGCAAUAGCUAGAGUCCGGUAGGGGAGCAUGGAACUCCUGGUGUAGCGGUGAAAUGCGCAGAUAUCAGGAAGAACACCAGUGGCGAAGGCGGUGCUCUGGGCCGGAACUGACGCUGAGGAGCGAAAGCGUGGGGAGCAAACAGG